AUAGAGAGUACUUACACAAACCUAGAUGGUAUAGCCUAAUACACACCUAGGCUAUAUGGUACUAAUCUUAUGGAGCCACUGCUGUGUAUGCAGCAGUGUAUAUGAUCAAA